GAGUUUAACCACAAUGGUUACAACCGUGUUCACUGUCAAGAGCGACAGCAGAGCGGAUGUCUGCUGAGUAAACACCGUGUUGUUGACUGCUGUCACAGUUUUGUAACUGUACAGGGUCGCAGUAGAUGGCAACCCAAACAGCUGACAGUUGCACAGAAAGAGGAAGGCAGAGGCUUGAGAGUCCCAAAAGUGUCGGCAUCAGAGCUUCUCUGAAAUUUUGAAGCCACAAGUUGGGCAUUUUGGCCAUCGCCAUCUUGGUGUGUUGGAUCCAGAAGUGACCAUAUUCGGAUGACAGGGUGGAGCUGUGGUGGAUCUCACUGAGAACCCAAUCACAAGCCUUCUUCAGGACGAGGAUGAAAUCCGUGCUCUGCUUAAAGUUGACUCUCAAGGACAUCAAUAAUAGCCACACAGCUGUCAGAGUCCAUUAAGACACAUCUACAUAAGGAUGGGAGCAAAUAUUCAUAGGCAUAUCAGUUUUCUGGGAAGCUCUCGGUGAGAUGGAUUGGAAUGACACAAAGAUGAACUCCCUUUUGAAUCCAUUGUGAGACGGGAACUGCCACAUUGGCUCAAGGAGGGACGUGUCGAGAUGGGUCAGAAACCUCCAAUUCAGCCCGUUUACGGCUACUUUGGAGAGGAGAGAAAGUGGACAGUAUCUGUCACGGGAUGACAUCAGAGCCAAUAACCAUUCAACAGACAGUUUAAAAAAAACGUCAUUAUGGCAUCUUCAUUUAUCGCUGUCUUAUUUUUACUUUCUUUCAUUUCUUUUACCACUGUUUGUCUUUUCUUGUAUGUUGUGUAUGCAGAUUUUUUGUGUUCUUUGUUUUAUUGUUGUUUACAUGUUUUGUUUCAUUUUUAAUGAGCAGUAAUGUCAGUUUUUUAUUUGUUUAAACAAAGAGAACUCUAAACAAGCCUCCCUUCCUCUCCUGCAGUGAAGUUACUGUCUUUUCUAUUGCAUGUAUUUUUUUUUUUUUUUAUUACUGUGCAAAUAAAUAAAUAAAAUAAACUGUGUGGCAAAACUGUCCACUCGUCCGUAGAUGGCCCCGGUCCUACUGAAUCAUAAACUU